rnacentral:rRNA from 1 species
AUUGAACGCUGGCGGCAGGCUUAACACAUGCAAGUCGAGCGGGGUGAUGGUGCUUGCACUAUCACUUAGCGGCGGACGGGUGAGUAAUGCUUAGGAAUCUGCCUAUUAGUGGGGGACAACAUCUCGAAAGGGAUGCUAAUACCGCAUACGUCCUACGGGAGAAAGCAGGGGAUCACUUGUGACCUUGCGCUAAUAGAUGAGCCUAAGUCGGAUUAGCUAGUUGGUGGGGUAAAGGCCUACCAAGGCGACGAGCUGUAGCGGGUCUGAGAGGAUGAUCCGCCACACUGGGACUGAGACACGGCCCAGACUCCUACGGGAGGCAGCAGUGGGGAAUAUUGGACAAUGGGGGGAACCCUGAUCUAGCCAUGCCGCGUGUGUGAAGAAGGCCUUAUGGUUGUAAAGCACUGUAAGCGAGGAGGAGGCUCUUUUGGUUAAUACCCAAGAUGAGUGGACGUUACUCGCAGAAUAAGCACCGGCUAACUCUGUGCCAGCAGCCGCAGUAA